rnacentral:miRNA from 1 species
UAUCUUACUACACUAGGGAUUAUAUAGCUAGAUCUGAAAUUUCAAGAAAAUAGCUGUUUACUUGGCCGUUUUCCUAUGUCGUGAAGUCUGAAAUUUCAAUUCAGUGGAGCAGGGUCAAGAUAUUAACUGAUGUGCAUGAAAUUUCAGAUCUAGCUAUAUAAUCCCUGGUGUAGUAAGAGA